UGUGAAGAUGCAGACCAGUCAAGCUUAUUAAAAAGGAAAUAUUUUAUUAGACAAAUUAAAACAAAGCCAAGUCGAUUUUCAUACUAGUAGUAAGACAGUUCACUAAUAUGAAAAGAACAACCCAACUACCAAUAUAAUUCCAACAAUAAUUACAUUAAAGAAUUGAGUCUGAAUACAAACCAUAUCCCACAUCGUUUCUGCUGUCCACAUUUUUCUUUGCCAAGGAACCCAAU